GAUGAACGCUGGCGGCGUGCCUAAUACAUGCAAGUCGAGCGAACGGACGAGAAGCUUGCUUCUCUGAUGUUAGCGGCGGACGGGUGAGUAACACGUGGAUAACCUACCUAUAAGACUGGGAUAACUUCGGGAAACCGGAGCUAAUACCGGAUAAUAUUUUGAACCGCAUGGUUCAAAAGUGAAAGACGGUCUUGCUGUCACUUAUAGAUGGAUCCGCGCUGCAUUAGCUAGUUGGUAAGGUAACGGCUUACCAAGGCAACGAUGCAUAGCCGACCUGAGAGGGGGGGCGGCAACACGGGAACUGACAGAGCGACGGGAGAACGCCGGGGGGCGGAAGGGGGGGAGAGUGCGGAAUGUGGGAGAGUCUGAAGGCUCAGUGCAGAGGGAGUAACAGAGGUCUACGGAUCGGAGAACUCUUUGAUGGGGAAUAAACAGAAGUCAGCGGAAAUGUGCACGUCUGGAGGGGAGCUAAGCGGAAGGCCACCGCAAGCAAGAUG
rnacentral:rRNA from 1 species